GACGAACGCUGGCGGCGUGCUUAACACAUGCAAGUCGAACGGUAAGGCCCUUCGGGGUACACGAGUGGCGAACGGGUGAGUAACACGUGGGUGAUCUGCCCUGCACUUCGGGAUAAGCCUGGGAAACUGGGUCUAAUACCGGAUAGGACUCCUGGCUUCAUGGUUGGGGGUGGAAAGCUUUUGCGGUGUGGGAUGGGCCCGCGGCCUAUCAGCUUGUUGGUGGGGUAAUGGCCUACCAAGGCGACGACGGGUAGCCGGCCUGAGAGGGUGACCGGUCACACUGGGACUGAGAGACGGCCCAGACUCCUACGGGAGGCAGCAGUGGGGAAUAUUGCACAAUGGGCGCAAGCCUGACGCAGCGACGCCGCGUGAGGGGUGACGGCCUUCGGGUUGUAAACCUCUUUCAGCUAUGACGAAGCGCAAGUGACGGUAGUAGCAGAAGAAGGACUGGCCAACUACGUGCCAGCCGCCGCCGUAA
rnacentral:rRNA from 1 species